GCCUACGACCAUCUCACCCUGAAUGCGCCCGAUCUCGUCUGAUCUCGGAAGUUAAGCUAAGAAUCGAUAGCCUGGUCUAGUACUUGGAUGGGAGACUGCCUGGGAAUACCAGGUGUUGUAGGCU
rnacentral:rRNA from 1 species